rnacentral:tRNA from 1 species
GCGGGAAUAGCUCGUUGGUAGAGCACGACUCCAAAUAAGGUCGGGGGUCGCGAGUUCGAGUCUCGUUUCCCGCUCCA